AAAAAACAUGAAAAAAUUAUGAUUCCACAAUUACUAUUGCCCUAAUACAUAAAUUUGCCCUCAAACUUUAUGGAAAAGGUAUAAUGCUGCCUUAUAAUUUCAUUUAAACGUAUUACACCGCUUUUGCUUUAUUUUUAUAAGGAAGAUUGUUAAGUGGCCAAGUCCAUGAUACGUUACUUUUACUUGUACUAAUGUUAAGAGAAUGUUGAUCUCUCUUUUUGAACUUUUGACAUGUUAAAUUUUUAACCUUUUAUUUUCUCUCUUCCUAAUGCUCGAUAUGCACAUAGGGAGAAAGCAAGGAAACUACAUUAGGUUAAGGAAUUUCAACAAAUUCUUUGUGGGCAUUAUUUUAUUAACACUCAACGUAGAUCAAUAAAGGCAAUCCCAUGAUGACAAUCGCCACAUUCAAAUAAAAAACUAGCAGGAAAAAAGAAAGUAUUAUAGAGAGAGACGUGAUAAGCUAUGUUAAAUUUGGAGAAAGUAUUGGUCAAAUUACAAUUUAAUUUAU
rnacentral:misc_RNA from 1 species